CUCAAACCAUUUUUUUCCUAAACCUAAUUUCUUUCCAAACCUCAUCAACCCCUUUCUUCUUCUUUCUAUCAGCCGCCAAAACUCAACAACCACCAAAACUCUCACGCCUCCUCAUUCGAUCGACUCAACCCUCGUCUCUCAUUCUCUCACAUCUCCAUUUCUGAACGGUGGUUAGACUCAUUCAACCAUCUUCUUCAUUCAAUCUCACAACCAUGAAUACAAGCCAGCUUCGUCGUCUUCUUCUCGUCUUCGUAACUUCCGGCGCCGCUAGAUAACCACCACCAUCAUCGCCUUCGCUUGAAUCAAAGGUCUCGGAACACUAAUCACAUCCGAAGUACAUCAUUCCUCCAUUUCAACCGCGAUUUUGACUCUUAACACAAAACCCUAGGUUCUUUACGGACAGAAUUGAACAUUCACCGUCACAAAUUGAGCUCAAUUCCUUGGGGGUUCGAUUCACCAUAGCAUAAGCUUCGUGUUAGUGACAAGAACUAAGCAAAGCGGUGAAGUAAAGAAUGAGUUCGGCAAUUACCUAUCAGAGAUUAACAAAUGCAAUUUCGACAACGACGAAGAGAAAAAGAAAACCAGAUGCUCCGCCUUUCAGGGUAAACCAAGAAAUAACACACAGAGAUGAUGUAACUUUUUGGCUGAUACUUUGUCAAUAGGUUUCAUAGGAGAUGACAAGGAGACUUUUGAGACAUUUGAAUCUAUGGAGUUUAGACUACUCUUUUUCUAGUGGAACUGCUCAUUUACUUGCAAAGAUCUUGACUAUCAACAAACUCUAAGGGAACUCUAGUUAUCAUGGAAGACACACGGCAGUAACCAUUCCUCGGCCUAUAAAUCUCCAACCGAUUUCUGUGCCUUCGAUUAUAGUAAAUGAAUUGAAGUCUGUGACAGAUAGUUUUGGUACGAAGUCUUUCCUUGGUGAAGGUGCGUACGGGAAAGUAUAUCGCGCCAUGUUGAAAAUGGGACGUGAAACUGAACUCUGUUUGUCGAAAUCAUUUGGAUUUGCGGGUACAAAGGAUAAGUGUGCUGUUACGACCCAAAGGGUAAUCAAUUUUCUUAUUUUUCUAAUUUUGCAGUAUACAUUCAUUCCUUUCUUCAUUUUCUAUUGCGAUUGUUCAUUUAGAGACGGAUGCUUCAGUUGGUUUAUUUCUCAUA